AUGAUCUCCCCGCGCGGAUACGGCGCGCCGUUGUCGAGCUUGGCCACGGCGGAGAUCCGGCUCCACAACCACACGCCGGCGGUGGAAGACUGCGGGGGCUUUCUCCGUGGGAUGCCGCCAUGGACCUCCUUCUCCUCAACCAUGGAGCGGCAGCAGGGGAGCCCCGGUCCCCGUCUACUUCUUCUCCAUCAAGCUCUGACGUCCGACUCCAGCGACUCUCCCUUCUUCCUUUUGCAGUACGCUGGGAACACUCGACAUGACAUCCACCUACUGAUUCGUGCUCUACAUCUGGAAACUUACGGAAAUAAGGUGCAUGACAUUAUUAAUUCUUUUGGAGCUGCAGAUUAUUCCACCCUGUUUUGA
rnacentral:rRNA from 1 species